AUUGAACGCUGGCGGCAUGCCUUACACAUGCAAGUCGAACGCAUCGCAAGAUGAGUGGCGCACGGGUGAGUAACACGUGGGAAUGUAUCCUUUGGUUCGGAAUAACGUCUGGAAACGGACGCUAAUACCGGAUGAGCCCUUAGGGGGAAAGAUUUAUCGCCGAAGGAGCAGCCCGCGUCUGAUUAGGUAGUUGGUGGGGUAAAGGCCUACCAAGCCGACGAUCAGUAGCUGGUCUGAGAGGAUGAUCAGCCACACUGGGACUGAGACACGGCCCAGACUCCUACGGGAGGCAGCAGUGGGGAAUAUUGGACAAUGGGCGCAAGCCUGAUCCAGCCAUGCCGCGUGAGUGAUGAAGGCCUUCGGGUUGUAAACUUCUUUUACGGCAGUAGAGAUACUGCCGAGAAUAAGCACCUGCUAACUCUGUGCCAGCAGCCGCCGUAAAAC
rnacentral:rRNA from 1 species